rnacentral:pre_miRNA from 1 species
UGGUAUCAGCAAAGUGUUAUUUUUUAUGUUUAUGUAAAGUACACGUUUCUGGUACUAAG